rnacentral:rRNA from 1 species
GAUGAACGCUGGCGGCGUGCUUAACACAUGCAAGUCGAACGGACUUGUUAUGAAACCUAGUGAUUAACAAGUUAGUGGCGGACGGGUGAGUAACGCGUGGGUAACCUGCCUUACACAGGGGGACAACAGUUAGAAAUGACUGCUAAUACCGCAUAAGCGCACAGUGUCGCAUGACACAGUGUGAAAAACUCCGGUGGUGUAAGAUGGACCCGCGUCUGAUUAGCUAGUUGGCAGGGUAGAAGCCUACCAAGGCGACGAUCAGUAGCCGGCCUGAGAGGGUGAACGGCCACAUUGGGACUGAGACACGGCCCAA